rnacentral:lncRNA from 1 species
UAAUGUAAAAUAUUAUUUAAAUAAUUGCAUCACUAAAGACUCGAAAAUACACAUUAUUAUUUUAUUAAUAAUUUUAAUAAUUUCUUAAGAAAUAAAUUAGAAGUUAUAACUUAUAUAGGGUGAGAGUUAAAAAGUCUUUCUAAACCCUCUGUGACCCUUAUUAUUUACUUUAUAUUGUAAUACCUAAUUUUUGACCCGGGCCCAACUAAGCCUAAAGCCCAAACACAUUACAAGCUCAAGUCACUAACCCAAAUCCCAGCCUACCCCUAAGCAGUGGCUAACAGCAGAUUGGAGCCGCAGCAACUAGCAACCGUUCUAUUGCCCACGUUGUGCUUGCACGACACACCUCAUUCACGUUCUCCUUCACCUGCAAUAAACCACAGACAGUAGGUGUAACUGAAAAGGGAACAAAUUGUAAAAAAGGAUUUGGCUAUAAAAAGCCAAUGAAUUUUUAUAAUAGGGGGUUAACAAGUUUUGUAUUGAAAUUAAAGAAAAUAAAAAAAGAAAAAAACAGAAAAGCAAGGAUUUUAAAGGUGAUUUUCCGGGUCUAUUUUUUUUUCUUACUCACUGAUUUCUUUGUUUGUUUUUUUUUCUUUUCCUUUGCACACCAAACAAAAAUAAAAGGAGGAGGAGAAAUCCUUACCAAAAGAGGCGCGCCGUCGACAUCUUUGCUUCUCUUCGUCCAAAUCGAAGUUGGAAGGGGGGAGUUUGGCUUGAAAACAGAGAAGGUGGAGCAGUCCUUGUGGUGGCUGCUG